GAUGAACGCUGGCGGCGUGCCUAAUGCAUGCAAGUCGAGCGAACAGACGAGGAGCUUGCUCCUUUGACGUUAGCGGCGGACGGGUGAGUAACACGUAGGUAACCUACCUAUAAGACUGGGAUAACUUCGGGAAACCGGAGCUAAUACCGGAUAAUAUUUCGAACCGCAUGGUUCGAUAGUGAAAGAUGGCUUUGCUAUCACUUAUAGAUGGACCUGCGCCGUAUUAGCUAGUUGGUAAGGUAACGGCUUACCAAGGCAACGAUACGUAGCCGACCUGAGAGGGUGAUCGGCCACACUGGAACUGAGACACGGUCCAGACUCCUACGGGAGGCAGCAGUAGGGAAUCUUCCGCAAUGGGCGAAAGCCUGACGGAGCAACGCCGCGUGAGUGAUGAAGGUCUUCGGAUCGUAAAACUCUGUUAUUAGGGAAGAACAAACGUGUAAGUAACUGUGCACGUCUUGACGGUACCGAAUCAGAAAGCCACGGCUAACUACGU
rnacentral:rRNA from 1 species